GCUAUCUUUUUCCCCAUCUGUUCACAGAGGAAAUGCAGAUUGAUGGGUUUUUGUCCGAUGAUAUUGCUCCAGACUAAAAUUAGCAACUUAAUCAGCAGCCGGAAAAGGAGUAACUUCGCUGAUCACGUGUGUCUUAUGUAAUAUGAUGAUAAGCACGUUUUCUAAGUUUUCCUCACGUGCUUUUCAUGUUUUUUUUUUCUUUCUGUUAUCCCAAGCUCAUGAUUUUGGUAAGUAAAUUUUGUUGGAAAAAAUCACUAAGAGGACUAGAUUUUUCACCCAUUCUGAUUUUUGAUGUGAACAUUAACAUUAACUGCAUUAUGCUUCUGCCACAUGAUCGACUGAUUGGAUCAUUACAUGAAUGAGUCGUGGUGCACAUGUUCCUAUUAAUGUGGCUGUCGAAUAUAUGGAUGUAUGUAAUGUAAAAAUUACUUUAUGUAUUUAUUUUAUUUAUUUUUUUCAAGUGAUGACAGCAAGUACGUCUGAAAAUUUAUGGUUAUUAUUAAUUCAUUCUUCCUCAAUAACCACUUUUUCCUGCUCAGGGUCGGGAUGGAUCCGAAGCCUGUCCCCGGAACUCUGGGCACAAAGCGGAUACGCACCUUUUAUGGGAUGCUAGUCCAUUACAGGUCCAUACUUGUAAACGCAAUGACUAGACAGAGUUGGGGUCUCAGAGGUUUGGUGGACAUGACCCCUGGACCUGUUUAAAAUGCAUGUCAGGAAGUUGGGGUCAGAGCACAGGGUCAGCCAUGAUACAGCGCCCCCUGGAGCAGAGAGGGUUAAGGGCCUUGCUCAAGGGUCCAACGGUGGCAGCUUGGCAGUGCUGGGGCUUGAAGCCCCAACCUUCCGAUCAGUAACCCAGAGCCUUAACCGCCAAGCCACCACUGCCCCAGUAUUCAGUAUUAAUACAUUGCAAUUGCUUAUUUGUGGACCUUAUAGUAAAGUCCAAUAAUUGUAAGCACUGUCACUGUCAUCUGUUUUCAUUUCUCUUAUGCUGCUAUUUAUGUCAGCUCUAGAUAUCCCUGUGUAAGUUGUUAUUAUAAAAAUGAUGAAGCUGAUGUGAUAAAAAGUUAAUCAACACCUUCUCACUAAUCAAGAAUUCAAUUCAAUUCAAGCUAUAUUGACUUAUUUAACUUAAAGAUGUCAUUCAUAUUUUUACAUUUGAAUAGCAUUUUUUUUUCUUUCUCGUUUUUGGCAGCAACAGUAGGUCAAAUUUUUUUUGACAUAUGAUGUCAAAAUUCUGACACAUUAUCUCAAAAUUCUAACUUCUGAGACAAUAGGUCAAGAGUUUGAGAUAAGUCAAACUUUUUAUAUACCGCUGCUGCCAAAAAUAAAGAAACAAAAAUGUUAUCUGUGGAAGUUUUUGUGAACUGACACCAUCGCAUGUAACCCCUCAAAUGUCUUUAGGAUUUUAAUAAAACUCUGAUUGUGCCUCGU